AGAAGCCCGUGGUGGUUCGGCAUGGCACCGGGCACGGAAACGGAGAAGAGCACCUGUGGAAGCCGCCUGUCGCGGUUAGGGGCAUGGAGCGAGCGGCGAAGCAAGCCCUCACGGUCCAUAGAGCGUACGUUAUUGGCAAAGGUCUAGAGGUCAUACGUGCACACCAGACCGCAAACAAGAGUGACCGCUUGAAAGAGCGCACCGGGUCUGUAUGCAGAGAAGAUGGGCAUGGCGAACGAAGCGUGGAUCGCGACUUGUACCUGUGCCUGAUAUGGGUCGAUGAGAGCUGGAAACUGCGGGACCGGCACUUCAAACGCUGCCAACGAUGUCCAUCGCCUGCUGGCAACGGAGCUGGAGUGGCAGGAGUGUCCGGUGUACGCAGGUCCGCAGGAAAGCGACGGGGUACGGAAGCGGCUCAAGAAAAGGUCCAAAACCGCAGGUUUCGUUGACAGUACCAAGAGAUCCACACUGUCAUAUGCGCACCCGAGUUUGAGCUCCUGUUCCAUUUUAUGCCGUGUGAUGGAUGUGAUGCCGUGCACGAGAGGCGCGUUAUCACCCAGGCAGGCAAUCGCAGCGCUCCACCAUUGCAAGUCAACGUCUCAGCGACAAUCACGAGGCGAUCCUAGGUAUUUCUCUUGCUCAUUCCAGUACGCUGCUGAGAUUAUUUGUAAUGGAUUACAGUGUUUGGGUGGUUUAUCCGGAUUCCAUCAAGUUCCACAAAGCAUAUGCAUAUCGCCCGAAAAGAUCCAGAAGAUGAUUUUCUCAUUUAUGAGUAUCUUGGUGGCAAGCUUAUCGAUCGGGAACGCCACCACACAAGUUUCACGCUAUGUGGAAAAGUAAAACCCCCUCAUGGAUCUGUUAUCAGUUCCUCGUAUGGCAGUUACACGCGCAUGAGCAUGCCAUUGUGUGACGAAGGCUGUUCGUUCGCAACGUCAUCAGCCGAAAUACGACCCGAACAACAUGCGUCAUCGUUAUGCCCCUUCCUGUGAGACACUUUAUUUAAGUUAGUGGCUGAGCGAAUGCACCUCAUCCUCGUUCUCUAGAGGGUACGGCAACGAUCACGGCGGCUGGGCUGAUUCGGUCCAGCGCGCGAUCCACCUCUCCGAAUAGGCCCAAGUCGUCUAGAAUCUGUACGAUGCAAACAUUUUUCCUCGAACAGCGCAGAAUCACGUCGUAUCUGCCCAUGCAGUACGCGUAGCUAGCUGGUUGCGGUGCUCGGCAAGACGAUCUCGUUAUAGCGCAGACACUAAUAUCCGCGCGUGACGAUCUGCGAUCCCUAAGGUGGUUGUAUACCGUAUCAUAGACGGUCUACGUAGUAUCCAAUGCCCAAUAUCCGCACAAAGCGACCUUAUGUUGCCUAGUGCUCGCACUCUCGGAUCAGCGCAAGCACAUCGUAGAUGAUCCGAGCAGUCAUUCCCCAGACAAUUUUCCCGCUGCUGAGCUCUCGUGGUAGACAAAACAUCGGUGCGGGGGCGGCCUCGGUCGAGAACUGUUCUAAGGGCGCUUGACGUUGCCCCGUCUCUUCUGGGGAGUCUCGCGCUGUUGUACCAACGAUCUCCGAGGUUGUGUUUGCGCCUGCAUGACUGGCUUCAUUCACGAGAUCCGUUCCCAGGGUCGUGUCCUCCCAAGUACAGUUACCUGAUUCGGAGCGGCACGCCUCGAGAACACCGCGCGGCACCACAAGCAGGCUUUGAACCUCAGCCCGGUUCAACGCGAGUUGGCUUGGAUUGACACGAUCGUCCAAGUAUCCGAUGAAUGACAAAACUCUAAAAUUAGAUGAGCGCAGAAGCGGCCGAUACUCAUGAAACUUUCCCAGUAUGCGUAUAAAAC